UUCUUCUUGCCUGGCUGCCGGCGACCACUCGCCUCUCCAUGGCUGACGACGGAGCAGCCGCCGGCGUAGACCCCUCUCCUUCCUCUCCCCCUAUCCAUCCGGCGGCACCGGACAACCCGCCCAUCGAUGCCGCAUCCUUCACCCACACCCCAUACUACUGGGGAUUCUUGGCAGGAGGUGGAAAGGUUUCUUAAUGAUGAGGAUAGACCUUUCCUACCCAGUUAUCUACCUAUAUAAAGAUUUUACUGAUUCUGUUGAAGAUGAAUGAUGUGCUGAAUUGGAAUGUAGACUAGGGUUGAGAUAUAGAGUUCAGUUCAUAUAUUCUUGUUCUAGGCUUAAAACCUUGACUCUUAGAGUGAAAUCAUAUUUGAAGUCGAACGAGGCACUGGCUAGGAACGACAUCAUGCUGAAGCUUGUAACUGUAAACUACUCUAGUAAUUGCUAGUACCUACAACAUGUGAAGCUUCGGCAGAUAACAACAAGUUAUAACUUCCUACUGGAUAUUAAAUUGAUUGAAUUUCUUGGUAUACUUUGUCUUACCUUCUUUACCAAAUAUGCAAUUUAUUUUGUGCGCGAUUGGAGAUUAGGGAUUUAACUGUGGAUUAGCUUUACUAAGUGAUUCAACGUUGCUUUAAAAGUCACCCUUUGGAAGAAGCUUGUACGCAAUAAGGAUGAUUAUCCAACUACAGUGGUUAUCUUAUUAUUGCUCUAUUGCAUGCCACUUCUCCUAAACCAUCAUAUAUAAUGUGUAAUGAGUAGAUUUCCUUAUUUCUUUCAUUUGUGUUGAAUUAUUGAUGUUCGUCCUCUUGUUUCACUCUCUUCUAGAGUAUUUCUCUCAAGCUUAUACAUACCACGGUCAAAAUUCAAGUAUUUUUUCUAUUUGUAUUUAUUGGGUAAUGGUUGCAUUUAAUUCUCACUGUGUAGUGAAGAAAAUGUGCACUUGCUAUGUAAGGAACUGAUUAGAGCUGGACUUGCUGAUCCUGCGGGCAAUGACCUUUAUGCUGUUUUCGUAUCAAACGAGGAAAAGAAGAUUCCUCUCUGGUAUCAGAAAGCAAGUCGUACUAAUGAUGGAUUUGUCUUGUGGGAUUAUCAUGUAAUCUGCAUCCAGUCUAGGCGAAACAAAGGAGAUGUUCUUGAUCUUGUUUGGGAUUUGGACUCCAGUCUUCCUUUCCCUUGUCCAUUCCUCCAGUACAUUGCUGAUGCCAUUCAACCACUAGCAUUUGGCGACUCCAUCUAUGGAAGACUUUUCCGUGUAGUUCAUGGUCCGUUAUUUCUUCGAUCAUUUGCAUCAGACAGAAGCCACAUGAAGGACCCCAUGGGGAAUUGGAUUGAGUUACCCCCAAAAUAUGAACCAAUUGUUGCGGAAGAUGGAAACACCAAUAACCUGAAUGAGUACAUCGCCGUGUCUACUAAUGAUGUCGGAGACCUGGAAAGUAUGGUUAAUGAUGUCUACCGCAACAAACAUGGUGUGGUGAUAAACGAAACGUUGCUCCCCGUAUUCUUCUCCCGGUUGCCUGAAUGACAUCCUUAAGAGGAGCCCUCGGAGAUAUCUUGAUUGGCUUGUCCCAACGGUUGAGUACUUGUAGUGAGUGAGAUCUUAUGAACCAGACGUAGUGCCUAUCUGGAGUUUGUUAAUCAAACAGUAUCGCGCUUGUCUAAUGAUGUUGUGCCAGGCCAUAAUAUUAUUUUGAAGUUACUGUUGCUGUUGAGUUACUCAAACCUGAAAUGAUGAAACUGUUUUGUCAGCA